rnacentral:rRNA from 1 species
AGAGUUUGAUCAUGGCUCAGGACGAACGCUGGCGGCGUGCUUAACACAUGCAAGUCGAACGCUGAAGCUUGGUGCUUGCACUGGGUGGAUGAGUGGCGAACGGGUGAGUAAUACGUGAGUAACCUGCCCUUGACCCUGGGAUAAGCCUGGGAAACUGGGUCUAAUACUGGAUACGACAUGUCACUGCAUGGUGGUGUGUGGAAAGGGUUUUACUGGUUUUGGAUGGGCUCACGGCCUAUCAGCUUGUUGGUGGGGUAAUGGCCUACCAAGGCGACGACGGGUAGCCGGCCUGAGAGGGUGACCGGCCACACUGGGACUGAGACACGGCCCAGACUCCUACGGGAGGCAGCAGUGGGGAAUAUUGCACAAUGGGCGGAAGCCUGAUGCAGCGACGCCGCGUGAGGGAUGACGGCCUUCGGGUUGUAAACCUCUUUCAGCACGGAAGAAGCGAGAGUGACGGUACGUGCAGAAGAAGCGCCGGCUAACUACGUGCCAGCAGCCGCGGUUAUACGUAGGGCGCAAGCGUUGUCCGGAAUUAUUGGGCGUAAAGAGCUCGUAGGCGGUUUGUCGCGUCUGCUGUGAAAGCCCGGGGCUUAACCCCGGGUGUGCAGUGGGUACGGGCAGACUUGAGUGCAGUAGGGGAGACUGGAAUUCCUGGUGUAGCGGUGAAAUGCGCAGAUAUCAGGAAGAACACCGAUGGCGAAGGCAGGUCUCUGGGCUGCUACUGACGCUGAGGAGCGAAAGCAUGGGGAGCGAACAGGAUUAGAUACCCUGGUAGUCC